UACGUAGGGGGCAAGCGUUGUCCGGAAUCACUGGGCGUAAAGCGCGUGUAGGCGGUUCGCUAAGUCUGUGGUGAAAGCGCCUGGCUUAACCGGGCGAGGUCCAUGGAAACUAGCGGUCUGGAGGCCGGUAGAGGGGGGUGGAAUUCCGGGUGUAGUGGUGAAAUGCGUAGAGAUCCGGAGGAACACCAGUGGCGAAGGCGGCCCCCUGGGCCGCGCCUGACGCUGAGACGCGAAAGCGCGGGGAGCGAACGGG
rnacentral:rRNA from 1 species